rnacentral:rRNA from 1 species
CCUACGGGAGGCAGCAGUGAGGAAUAUUGGUCAAUGGCCGGAAGGCUGAACCAGCCAUGCCGCGUGAAGGUCAGUGCCCUAUGGGCGUUAAACUUCUUUUGUGCGGGAGCAAUAAUGGUCACGUGUGGCCAGACGAGAGUACCGUACGAAUAAGCAUCGGCUAACUCCGUGCCAGCAGCCGCGGUAAUACGGGGGAUGCAAGCGUUAUCCGGAUUUAUUGGGUUUAAAGGGUGCGUAGGCUGUGAGGUAAGUCAGCGGGGAAAUGCCCCCGCUCAACGGGGUGAAGUGCCAUUGAUACUGCCUUGCUGGAAUGCGGAUGCCGUGGGAGGAAUGUGUGGUGUAGCGGUGAAAUGCAUAGAUAUCACACAGAACACCGAGUGCGAAGGCAUCUCACGAAUCCGCGAUUGACGCUGAUGCACGAAAGCGUGGGUAUCAAACAGGAUUAGAUACCCUAGUAGUC